rnacentral:rRNA from 1 species
AACGAACGCUGGCGGCAUGCCUAACACAUGCAAGUCGAACGAGACCUUCGGGUAUAGUUGCGCACGGGUGCGUAACGCGUGGGAAUCUGCCCUCGGGUUCGGAAUAACAGUUGGAAACGACUGCUAAUACCGGAUGAUGACGUAUGUCCAAAGAUUUAUCGCCCAAGGAUGAGCCCGCGUAGGUUUAUCUAGUUGGUGAGGUAAAGGCUGAGUAAGGUGACGAUCUUUAGCUGGUCUGAGAGGAUGAUCAGCCACACUAGGACUAAGACACGGCCCAGACUCCUACAGGAGGCAGCAGUGGAGAAUAUUAGACAACCAGCCAAAGCCUAAUCCAGCAAUGCCGCGUGAGUUAUGAAUCCCUUAGAGUUGUAAAACUCUUUUACCCCUAAUCAUAAUGACAGUACCAGAUGAAUAAGCACCGGCUAACUCCGUG